AAAAUUUACUUAAAGCCUUAAAUAUUCCUUAGCUAAGAAGCCAGAGAAAGAAUCUCAAGUAUUCAUGACUCCUUGGCAACAGUUCUAGAUACAGACAGUGGAGUCCAUGAACCCAGGAGCUCAAGCCACAGUGACCUUAGAGUCAGAUAUUACAGGCCAGAUAUUACUGCCACCCCAAGCAGGGAAGCCCUGAGAAUUCACAGUUCUGAAUUCUAUGAAGGCAGCUGAAGUGAACACUGAACCUGAUCACACAUGGAAGAAGCCAAGGUCAUCCACUGCAUCCCAAGCCAUUGCCAGUCAUCUCGACUUUUGUCUUGUCCCUGGACUUUGCUGACUCUGGAAAAGAGAGUGAGGCUGACAACUCUGUGCAACUCUGCCCCAUUUAAAUCCAAUUCACAUGCAAGUCAAGACAUCACCUGUCGGUGUCGUUGGUCCUCUUCAAAAACAAAGGCAAACAACAACAAUCUUUGAUGUAAAUAGUCCUUUGCAAAAGCUGAUCUGACUGGGACCUCUUCCUGAACUGAACCUGGAACUGUGAGUGUCCUCUCUCAAAGCUGAAAGCCAAAAGAAGCACUCUCUUCUCCCAAGCUCUGACCAACUCCACCCCUCUCACUCAGGCCCAGAAAACUGAGUAAAUUAGCAUUCUCUCGACCAAUGAAGAGAGUCUUAUUCAAAUGCCUAGGUUUGAGCCCAGGUUACACUAGCAAAGGUAAACAUAUGGUUUGGGGUCUCAUAAACUGUGAUCUUAAAUAGACAUGGGCCCACAAAAUAUUCUGAACUUGAGAUAGCCUUGUCUGGGGGACACAUAUAUGAAUUGAGAGGGUGCCCCCAAAUGCUAUAUAUAUAUAUAAAAAAGGACGAAGCAACCAUGAGAGGGAGAAGUGACAAGUUCAUGAUCACAUACAACAAGUUGUUAGCUGGGCUGGGACGCAACCCCUGGUCUCCUAACUCCUAAACAGUCCAAUGUUCUUUCCAUUACCCCCAUGAUGCUUUGUUCUGUCUAGUCACAGCUGAGGCCAUUUUAUCUAGUCACAAAAUGUAGGCAUCAAACCUACCUGCCUAUCAAGCAUUCUUGCGCCAUUUCACCCACAGUAAGUCAAAUACUUCCUUGCUUUUUUUAGAAGUACUCAAUAAAUUUCAAAUCAUUCCUUACUUCAAAGCACGCGUGUACUAUACAGAUUCUCCUUCAGAAUCUCCCAUGGUGCCUUUGCACCAAACAUACAGGCCGAGCUGCCGGGGAGGGAAGACAGGAAUGCACGUCAUAAAAAGCUUUUAGCUGACAGAUCUUAGAAUUUCUUUCAAAAGAGUCUUUUCUUUCUUUUUCGGUUGCAUUAGAGGUUGAGGGAGGGGUGCUAAAGAGUUAAAUGAUAAGUUUCCUGGCAUGAGAACAGGAAAAGUUCAUGAGGCCCCAUUGUACAGCUGUCAUGUCAUGGAACUGCACCACAGAGCUAAUAAAUCUGUUAGGGGAAACCUGUGAUUUAAUCAGCAGCAGCCCCAUCACACACAAUCAUACAGAGAACAAUCCAUCAGAGGUGUCAGGCGCAUAUUUCAUAAUGGGAGGAGACAUUACUUAGCACUUUGUGCAAUACUUGAAGGCUUUAACUAUCAUUUAAACAAGUGGGUUUUAGAAGUGUUAAGCUUCAUCCAGGUAACUGCCACCUGGUUUUUCUACCCUUAAAAAUGAGGCAAAUUCGCAGCUUUCUACAAGGAAGACAAGAGACUGAAUUAUAAAGGCUGACAGGAGAUUCCUUGUUCCUCCACAAGUUUUCCUUUGUAGCAAGAAAAAAAAAAAGAUGUUCAGGUUUUGGGGACCGUGUUUUAAAAACUCAUUUAUAAC